CGCGAGCUCAGCUCGCUCGGUCGCGCGCGGCGAUCGACCGGAUCAGCUCAUGACCAUGCAUGACGGGCGUGAGUCAUGAAAGACUUAGUAAGUUAGUGAAACCGGAGGUAUCCUGCUGCACACACCAAGCUGUUUCGCGUGUUUUUGGUCGAGCUUUGAACUGGGACUCUUUCUUUUUCUCGGCCGUAAGUAGCGUCCAAGAUCCUGAGAAAGUAACGUUGGUUAUCCAUACCUCCAUUGCCCUUCACUUGUCGUAGGAGUGAUGCAUCUAUGGCUCUUGUACACACUCGUAGACGAACCCUUUGAGCUACGCAACAGUCAUCAUCUCGUCCGUCAUUUCCCUACCUACCGUCCUUGACUUUGCCGGGAAGCUGUGCGCAAGUGCAUCUAGCCAGGGCGAAGUCGGUUUGGAAGGACGUGAAUAACGCGCUAGCGUAUAGUGGUUAUUUCGUCGCGGAUUCCGGCCCCAGGUAACGUUAGCACCCUGGCCUGGACUCGGACGGAUCCGAGGCGGUGCAGCCGGAGCUACUGGCCACCUCACACUGUCGCGCGCGGCUUGCCCUUGUGCUGGUCUCGGGAAGAGCCAAUGUUGAAGGUGCAGUCGGCAAAACUAAUCACCUGCUAGCCAGCAAAGGGGAAGCCGAAAGAGCAGACAGCUGCAGCCACGAACACCCGCAUUGGCCGUAGCUAAUAGCCUAGAUAGGCGUUACUCGGGGCGUUCAAGCAUGAUGCGGCAAGGAUUAGUGAGCCACCAAGUGAACUAUUUGCCGCGGAUGUUGGCCGUGUGGUUGUUCGUCGGCUGCCUAAUUGGACAAGUAGUCUUUCAGAAAGCGGCAAUGGCGCAGGCAGCUAGCAGCUGCCCUGGGACACUGACGGGCGGUUUCGGCGAUUUGACACUGACGGACGAUUUCGUCACGGCUUGCACUGGGCAAGUGAGUGUGAGUGCCACAUCGACGUGCGGUGAAAGUCCCGACCAAGACCCCAGUCAGUCCUACUUUGGAGACCUAACGGGCAGCAUCCAGAGCGGAACAGAUCACCUAGAUUUGUUGACGUGCUCGUCCAGUGACGCGCAGUUGUCGCAUCCUAAACAGUACAUACUGGAUGGAAACGCUACCACGUGGUGGCAAUCCGCGCCAGGCGUGCUGGAAGUCAAUGUGACUCUGAGCCUGCCUGCCAGCAUCCUGCUGAGUCGCUCAACGCUGCGAUUCCGCAGUCACCUAGCUGCUCAGAUGCGACUGCUGGGCUCGUCGGACGGCGGCAAGACGUGGCGAGUGCUUCAGUACUACUCUGACUUCUGCAGGGGCAGAAUGUCGGGCUACGGGCUACCGUUCAGUCGGCCUGAUGAUCUGUGUGGUGACCUGGACGCACGGUGUGUGUAUACCGGGGCCGAUCCUCAGGACGGGGGAAAUAUCACAUACUCUCCAGGUGACCGCGUCGGCAUGGAUCGUCUUCUAAAUGAACCAGACCUGCGCCUCAAUGCCACCGUUGACACGUUGAGAGCAGAAAUGGUCCGGCCAUACGCCAGAGGUGGCAACGCAGACAUUCUCGAUCCCAAGCUGAUCUUCUACGGCCUUUACUCGUGGCGUGUUGAAGGUGUGUGCCAGUGUUACGGUAGUGGGACUAAGUGUGCAGCACUGCCCGGCCUCACCAACACCACCAGCUCAGCACAACAGUGCUUGGCCGGGUGUCAAUGUGGGACACGUCAUCAGGAGACACAUGUGACCACUGUCUUCCUGCGUAUCAAGGAGUAUCCACCACCAUCAAUGCUGGAAAUGCCACCUGUGAAGCGUGUAGUUGCAAUGGCUACUCGUUAUCAUGUUACUAUGACAACGCACGGCGCGUGUCAGUUUGCGACAACUGCACGGGCAACACCGCGGGUGAUCGCUGCGAGGCAUGUUUACCGGGCUUUGCCAUGGUGAUGAGGGGCGUUGUCUUGCAGACCAAUACCACCGUCUUGCCGCUUGUCAGGUUCCUCUGUGAAGCUUGUAACUGCAAUGGCUAUGCGGAGACAUGCUACUACGACAACAUGUUUCGUGUGUCCAUUUGCGAUAAUUGUACAAACAGCACCACGGGUAAUCGAUGUGAGGCAUGUUUACCGGGCUUUGCCAUGGUUACAC